AUUGAACGCUGGCGGCAGGCUUAACACAUGCAAGUCGAGCGGGGGAGGUUGCUUCGGUAACUGACCUAGCGGCGGACGGGUGAGUAAUGCUUAGGAAUCUGCCUAUUAGUGGGGGACAACAUUCCGAAAGGGAUGCUAAUACCGCAUACGCCCUACGGGGGAAAGCAGGGGAUCUUCGGACCUUGCGCUAAUAGAUGAGCGUAAGUCGGAUUAGCUAGUUGGUGGGGUAAAGGACUACCAAGGCGACGAUCUGUAGCGGGUCUGGGAGGAUGAUCCGCCACACUGGGACUGAGACACGGCCCAGACUCCUACGGGAGGCAGCAGUGGGGAAUAUUGGACAAUGGGCGGAAGCCUGAUCCAGCCAUGCCGCGUGUGUGAAGAAGGCCUUUUGGUUGUAAAGCACUUUAAGCGAGGAGGAGGCUCUUAAGGUUAAUACCCUUGAUGAGUGGACGUUACUCGCAGAAUAAGCACCGGCUAACUCUGUGCCAGCAGCCGCGGUAACAC
rnacentral:rRNA from 1 species